ACUAUCGAUCAAAACCCUCCCCAAAUUCCAAUCUCGAUCAAACCCUAGCCGCCGUAAAGUAUAUCAGAAAAACUGCACUACCACUCAUUUGGCGACGUAAAUAAUACUUAAUCUUGACAUUACUCCGUCGUUUCGAUAUCUCUCCUCAGUUUACGGUUUAUUUGGCGACGAUGACGAAGCCAAUGUCAACCAUUUCUACCGAGGGGAAAAUCCGUUGAGGAUUAUAAAAGAUCGAACUGAGAAAAUGGCAAAAAGAGGACGAUCGUUCAAGAGCCAACCAACUGAAAUGCAGGUUCAAAGUUUGCAAGGAUAGAAUACGAUGACGACUUUGAUGAGGUCAUUCCCUUUCAUAUGCACAUCUGUUUCGACAAAAGUUGGCUGCACAUAAGGAAGCUGAUAAAGUGCUAGCCAAAGAUGUUGCAGCACCUAGUCGAAACAAGAAAGACAACAACAUGUACUUCAGGAGGUGUCCAACUGAUUUGAAAUAGAUUUGUAGGGUAUUUUGUCUAGAUUUAUGACGAUGUAAAGCA